rnacentral:lncRNA from 1 species
GUGGAUGAGGCGGUUAGAGUCAUCGGGUCAAAGAAAAGACAGUCUCUUUUAAGAGAGUCUUUUCUAGGCACUCGUUUUGAGUUGCCAGAGUAAAAUCUCUCCAAGAACGCAACGUGGAGCUUUGCCAAGACCUCACCAGCGAGCCCUGGGGUGCCGGCCUGGAGCAGGAAGGCAGAGACUUUGGUCCCUGGGAAGUGGAAAAGGAAGGUCAUAUGUCCCACCUGUGUUUUGUUUUCUCCUGGCGAGGGCUGAGCUAUCAGAUGGCAGAUCCUGCGCCAGCAUCCUCAGCCAGUUCCCAGGGAGAAGCUUUCACAGCAGGAUUGAGCACCAGUGGAUGCUGCUGUGGCUCCUGGAAGCUGCAGGUUGUCACCCGCUGUCCUGUCAUCAAGGUGGACCUGAAGCAACAGUUUGUCCUGGAGUCGAAGAAAGCCCAAGGGUCCUCAGUCCCACCCACACUGUAAAGGUGCGCGUCAGGCCUGGCAGGGUCGGCAAUUGGCCCAAGGCCCUCAGUGAGGUCAGGACUGGGGCCCUGGCUCUCGGACCCACAUGGCCAAGAUCACUCCCACAGCGUCCCCUUCAAUGAGUGAGUGAGAGCAAAACAGCAGCAACCAUGACAAUGAUGACUCUGUGAUGCACGGAGAAGGGUAGGUCUGACUGUGCUGGAAAGGGGUUUGGGGGCUGCCUCCACAUUCAGGGCGGGAGACGAGGGGUAGUCAAGGUCCAGGCUGAAGACAGGAGGGCUGGGGAGGCGGUGAGUGAAACCUGCAGCAGAGAAACUCUUGCCUGUGCCUCCUCCUGUCCCAGCGCCACGGGCCGUACCCAAGACCUGUCUUGAUCCCAGAGGAGGUCAGCCCCAGCCCCAAGAGUGCUCAGCACCCCUCACUUGUUUCUGGGGCCCUUUAAUCCCAGUGCUGUGCUGGAACCGGCUUGUACCACUCAAGGAGAGCCAACCGUUAAAUGUUCUGGAAUGUUGUGAGUCAGUAGUGAAACACAGAAAUUAUUA